GGAUCCUGGCUCAGGAUGAACGCUAGCGGCAGGCUUAAUACAUGCAAGUCGAGGGGCAGCAGGCUGUAGCAAUACAGUGCUGGCGACCGGCAAACGGGUGCGGAACACGUACACAACCUUCCUUUAAGCGGGGAAUAGCCCGGGGAAACUCGGAUUAAUACCCCAUAGUAUGGCGAGGAGGCAUCUCCUUGCUCUUAAAGAUUUAUCACUUGAAGAUGGGUGUGCGGCUGAUUAGGUAGUUGGCGGGGUAACGGCCCACCAAGCCUACGAUCAGUAACUGGUGUGAGAGCACGACCAGUCACACGGGCACUGAGACACGGGCCCGACUCCUACGGGAGGCAGCAGUAAGGAAUAUUGGUCAAUGGACGAAAGUCUGAACCAGCCAUGCCGCGUGGAGGAUGAAGGUCCUCUGGAUUGUAAACUUCUUUUAUAUGGGACGAAAAAAGGGUUUUCUAACUCGUCUGACGGUACCAUAUGAAUAAGCACCGGCUAACUCCGUGCCAGCAGCCGCGGUAAUACGGAGGGUGCAAGCGUUAUCCGGAUUCACUGGGUUUAAAGGGUGCGUAGGUGGGUUGGUAAGUCAGUGGUGAAAUCCCCGAGCUUAACUUGGGAACUGCCAUUGAUACUAUCAGUCUUGAAUACCGUGGAGGUCAGCGGAAUAUGUCAUGUAGCGGUGAAAUGCUUAGAUAUGACAUAGAACACCAAUUGCGAAGGCAGCUGGCUACACGAAUAUUGACACUGAGGCACGAAAGCGUGGGGAUCAAACAGGAUUAGAUACCCUGGUAGUCCACGCCCUAAACUAUGGAUACUCGACAUCAGCGAUACACUGUUGGUGUCUGAGCGAAAGCAUUAAGUAUCCCACCUGGGAAGUACGAUCGCAAGAU
rnacentral:rRNA from 1 species